GCAAGUCGAGCGGACAGACGGGAGCUUGCUCCCUGAUGUUAGCGGCGGACGGGUGAGUAACACGUGGGUAACCUGCCUGUAAGACUGGGAUAACUCCGGGAAACCGGGGCUAAUACCGGAUGCUUGUUUGAACCGCAUGGUUCAAACAUAAAAGGUGGCUUCGGCUACCACUUACAGAUGGACCCGCGGCGCAUUAGCUAGUUGGUGAGGUAACGGCUCACCAAGGCAACGAUGCGUAGCCGACCUGAGAGGGUGAUCGGCCACACUGGGACUGAGACACGGCCCAGACUCCUACGGGAGGCAGCAGUAGGGAAUCUUCCGCAAUGGACGAAAGUCUGACGGAGCAACGCCGCGUGAGUGAUGAAGGUUUUCGGAUCGUAAAGCUCUGUUGUUAGGGAAGAACAAGUACCGUUCGAAUAGGGCGGUACCUUGACGGUACCUAACCAGAAAGCCACGGCUAACUACGUGCCAGCAGCCGCGGUAAUACGUAGGUGGCAAGCGUUGUCCGGAAUUAUUGGGCGUAAAGGGCUCGCAGGCGGUUUCUUAAGUCUGAUGUGAAAGCCCCCGGCUCAACCGGGGAGGGUCAUUGGAAACUGGGGAACUUGAGUGCAGAAGAGGAGAGUGGAAUUCCACGUGUAGCGGUGAAAUGCGUAGAGAUGUGGAGGAACACCAGUGGCGAAGGCGACUCUCUGGUCUGUAACUGACGCUGAGGAGCGAAAGCGUGGGGAGCGAACAGGAUUAGAUACCCUGGUAGUCCACGCCGU
rnacentral:rRNA from 1 species